rnacentral:lncRNA from 10 species
GGGCUUGAACUUUUCUCCGUUCCCACAGACUGUAUCCACAGAGCGGUGCUCUUGCCUUGAAAGGAAGGAUUUGCCCCGGUUUGGAAGGAAGUGGAAUAAAUAGAACUGGAAAUGGCAAGGUCACCUUUAAUAUCAUAUGAACUGCCUAUUAACAAGCUUCACAAUUGCUUUGUUUCUUCCUCCUCCCGUGCUAUAAACAGGCUCAGGCAGAGCAAACUCUUGGAGCACACACAGUGUGGGGAGGAAGCUCUCAGAGCAGCAAGGAAGGAGAGGCUGCAGGCUCAACAGGGCCCAUCAAGCAUACCAGGGUUACAAUUGUGUUAUGGUGUGGUGGCCAGGAGGGAAAAAUGCUUGUUUUUCAAGGAAGGAACUAUAUUGUCCCAAAUUCCUGUGUAUAAAAUAUAGGACAAACAAGUUACAGUGGGAAUAUUUAAUUGGAGCAUGUGGAAUAGAUGGAAUAAUUGCCUUUCACUUGGCUUUUCCCUGCUCUAAGUAGUAUCACAUGGUGGUUACAUAAAGACAAAAAAGUUAUUUUAAGAACCCUUCUCCUUAGGACCCUGUUUAGUUGGUAUUCCAAACACACAGAGCAAGCUCUUCACUGGCAUUCUGCUUGACAGAUUUUUCUUUCUUUCCAGGCUCCUUCAGGCACAUUCUGUUGGGCUUCCCUCUACCUCCCCACUCUGCUGCUUCCCCGCUCUUUUUGAAUUUCUCCCUGUUGAGGAGAGGGAAGACCAGCUAGGAGGUAUGGAAAAGGCACUCACGAGGUUUGGAGGACAAAGGGUUAGGCAACAGGCAGGUCUGGAAUUUCAGUGCCCUGGCUUUCAGGAAUUCUUAGAUAGUCCAAUAUAUAAAUCAUCUUGGAAGAUCUUUUGGGAGCAGCACUGUCAUUAAAAAACAAACAAAUAAAAAACACCAGGCUGGGCCUGGUGGCUCACACCUGUAACCUCAGCACUUUGGGAGGCCAAGGUGGGAGGAUUGUGAGAGCCCCAGAGUUGGAGACCAGUCUAGGCAAUAAGGCAAGACCCGUCUCUACAAAAAAUAAAAAUUAGCUUGGCAUGGUGGCACAUACCUGUGGUCCCAGCUACUCAGGAGGUGGAGGCAGGAGGAUUGCUUGAGCCCAGGAGGUUGAGGCUGCAGUGAGCCAUGUUCACACCACUGCACUCCAGCCUGGGUGACAGAGCAAGAGCCUGACUCAAAAAAAAAAAGAAAAAGCUCCGUCUCUACUAAAAACACAAAAAGUAACUGGGCUUGGUGGUACACACCUGUAAUCCCAGCUACUCAGAAGGCUGAGGCAUGAGAAUCACUUGAGCCUGGGAGGCGGAGGUUGCAGUGAGCCAAGAUUGCACCACUGCACGCCAGCCUGGCCAACACAAUGACUCUGUCUCAAAAAAAAAAAAAAAAAAGCAUCACUAAGCUUCGAGUCAAAGAGAAAUAAUCUCAUAUGGCUUAAGUGCGGAUAAUCAAAGGUAACAUAAACCAAACAAAACUGAGUUGGUAUUUGUGAAUUGUUAUUUAUCCUUCUCUAUGGAUUCUGCACAUUCAGUCAAGGUGUUUAGGAAAACCUCCUCCCUACCAUUUUGAAAGUGUCAUAGAGCUAUGAACUGUUGUAAUUUCAAAAGUGCAAUUAAAAAGGUGUAAGAAAGAUACAGUGAGUCUCUAAGGGGUAGAAAGAAAACCCUAAAGGGUAGUUUCUAUCAAAUAUAAAUUUUGGCUACUUCUUUACAAUUCUAGGAUGAUGUGAGUUCUCAUCAUUGCAGAUAAUGGGUCAGAGCUGAGCUGUUGUGGGAACUGCUAGAUGGAGCUAGAGUUGUCAUGUGGCCAACUAUUUUGAUCUGUGGCUAACAUGUAAUAUCAGGAGAUUCUGAUCUCUGUCUGGUAGAUGUGUUAAAUUAAGUGUCUGGGGAGUAGACAUUGAGGCAUCAGUCUAGAAAUUCAAACAGAUGUGCUCUACUAAAAUGCUAUGCUAGAAUGAACCUGACCAAGCUAAUCAUCCUCUAAAGUGCACUACAAUAGACAGAAGACAUUUUCUCCUGGACUGUACAAGGGAUAGGGUCGGGGAGGAUGAGCUCUUUCCUUUGUCCUCUGACCACCUAGAACAGCAUAGCUAAUUUGCUUUGUCUAGCAAUAAGAAAUCUCACAAUAUAUUUAGCAGCAAGGUUGAGUACACACAUGUGCACACAUACAUGCACUCACAUUCAUUUCAUACCUUAACAUUUUUUUUCACCUUUUAAAAAAUAUGAAAGCAGAGGAUCUGGAUUGAGAAACUUGCCAUGCUUUUCUCUCAGAUGUUCUCUUUUCUCUGAAGACAGCAGGACCUCAUCCAAAGCUCUGUUUCUGGCAGGAAUCUGACACCACUUACUCCUUGGGUAGAAACUCCCCCAAGUCUGAACUAUGUGAUUGCCUGAGCCCUGCUUCUUGUUCAUUAAGACUGCUCCUCUGAAACGGAAUUGAUGAAUUUUUAGUGGCUAUUAGAAGCAUUUGGGAUCCAUAGGCAUCAGGGUUUGAUGCAUGGCCCUCAUCUCUGUGGGCUCCUGUGCAAUGAUUCUCAUCUGUCUUAGUUAGAAAGUGAAUUAAUCUUGACCUUGGCCUCAGGGGUGUGGUUCUCUGCCCUCUUACACAUCUUCAAUUCGCUUCUUUAUCAGAAGCACUUGUUUUAGGCCCAGGCUCCCCCAAUUUUAAUGACAUUUAGACAUUUGUCUUUAAGUUACAUUGCUUUGAUUUUAAUCAAAAUCUAUAUUUCUAGUAUUAUAUGUUUCCAGAAAGUUCUCAUUCUGGAUUGUAAUUUAAUUACAUGGAUCAUUAAAGCUUUGAAGGAUGCUAAUGGGCAGAAAAAAGAGACUUAACAAAACGAAAGUUAUUAUUAGGAAUUACAAAUCACUUAACAUUUCAACAUCACUCGUCGGAUGUGGGCAUUUUGUUGAAAGAGACCUUGUUUUGAACAGUGACAGUGCAGAAGACCUAUGGAAGAAACAAGCUUCCAACUUGAUUUCUAUUGUUAUGCAUGCAUAGCAAAUUAUUAAUUCUAUUCUAAUAGGGUAAUAGAUUUAGAAAUACUAUUAGCAGAAAACUUGAUGUAUUAGGCAAUACUACAUACCACAUUAGUCUAACCGCUCAACUGUAAUUUUUCAUCCAUACUUUCUUGGGAUGUAAAUAAAAUUGAUAUUAUACAAUGAAAAUAAAAUUGCCCACUAGUCUUGCUUAUUCUCUUGG